UGUGCGGGUUUCUCACUGCUGUGCCUUCUCCCAUUGCGGAGCAGAGGCUCCGGACGCGCAGGCUCGGCCGCCGUGGCCCACGGGCCCAGCCGCUCCGCGGCACGUGGGAUCCUCCCGGACCGGGCCACGAACCCGUAUCCCCUGCAUCGGCAGGCGGACUCUCAACCACUGCGCCACCAGGGAAGCCCGCUCCUGCCUUCUUUAAGCGAUCGUGUUGUUUGAUUCUCACUGCUAGGGGAAGGUCGAGUGUUUCAGGCCGACAUCGUCGCGACGCGCUGGUUCUUUCACGGUUUCGGAAACUGAGGCCAGGAGGUGCAAAGUGAACUGCGUAGAUCAGACUACUAGUGUAGUGGGUGGCUGCCAGGGUUCAAACCAUACCUCCACAGUUCUCAAACUUUAUUAUUUGACAGAGAUUUCUGGAGCGCUAAUUUGAAAAAUGCAGAUUCCGGGUCUCCCUUCCAUAGAUUGUUAUACCAGCAUGUCUUAGCUGGAGCCCAGAAUCUGCAUUUUAAUGAGCAGCUGUGAUUCUGAAGUGGCGACUAGGAAGCACUUUCCUACGAUGGCAACUGUGCUGUCCUUUUCGAAACCCAGCCUACGGAGUUUGUCCUGGAGUCUUAUUGGGGAAUUUCAAAACAUCGAAGAGAAUCUGAGCGCGCGAUUUUUGCUCAAACCUCAGAUUCUUUUCAAACCUCAGAUUCUUUUCAAACCUCAGAUUCUUUUCUACCUGGCCUCUUAGGUUUCCUCAUCAGUCUCCCAGCGUGUCUCCUUUAUUGGGAAAUAUAUCUGCUGUUAGAUCUGAUAUCUAUUCUUGGCUCUGCCACUUUCUAGCUGUGUAGCCUUCACCUCCCUGGACCUCAGUUUCCUUAUCUAUAAAUUGGAGAAGAUAAAAAGGGGGUACCGUGAGGGUAAAGAUAAAUGUAUGUGAAAAUAUUCAGGAAUCGCACUUACCAGUUGGGUAAAGUUAGGUUAUUGGAUCUCUCUGAAACCUUAUUCAUCUGUAAAAUGAAAAUGUUAACAGCAGCAUCUGUUUCCAUGAGUUCUCUCCUAAUCCGCUCAUCUUCCAGUUUUCCUACUUUUUGUUCAUGCUAUCCAGUGAGUGGUGCUCAUUGCAAAACCUUGUAGUCAUUAUUGGUAGCUCCUUUUCCCUUUUCCGCCACAUUUAAUCCUUCAGUAAGUCCUCUUUAUUCUUCUUUCAAAAGACGUCUUGAGGAAAUUCCCUGGUGGUCCAGUGGUUAGGACCCUGUGCUUUCACUACAGGGGGCACGGGUUUGAUCCCUGGUUGGGAAACUAAGAUCCCGCAAGCCUCAAGGUGCGGCCAAAAAAAACCUAUCAUGAAUGCCACCACUUUCCCCCACCAUCUCCAGCCUCAUGCUUGGACUCCCAGUGUCCACUCUUGUCCUUCUAGGGUUCAUUCUCUGCAUGAUGAUCAAAGUAGUCUAUUCACAACCUUCUAGCAGCUUCCCAUUACGUACUUGGAGUAAAAUACAAAUGUCUUCCUGUGGACUGUCUGCUCCUGGCUACCUAUCAUCUUUAUAUUCUGCCAUUUUAUACUCACUCUCCGCUAGCUAUCAUGCUUUUUUUUUGGCCACACUGCAUGGCUUGUAGGAUAGUUCCCCGAACAGGGAUCAAGUCUGGGCCCCGGCAGUGAAAGUGCCAUGUCCUAACCGCUGGGCCACCAGGGAGUUCCCAAUCAUGCUUUUCUUUUUAUGCCACAGGGCUGUGGUGAGAAUUAAAUGAGUUAAUGUAAGUUCUUGGAAUGGUACCAGGCACAUGAUGAGCGAGUGUGAAUGAGGACAGGGCAAGGCUACUCAGAGGGGUGGUUGGUUGAGGACACAGGCUAGUGAAGAUCUAGGGGAGAUGUAUUCCCGGCACCAGGGAACAGCAGGUGACAAGGUCUCAAGGCAGGAAAGAGCCUGGGUAUGACCCAGAAAGAGGAAGUGGCCACGUAGAAACGUGCAGGCCACGGAACAGAGUAUGGGAUUUUAUCCUCAGGAUAAAGGUAAGCUACUGAAGGAUUUUGAAGUGGCGAGGGAGGGAGGUCAUGCCCUGAUUUAAUGUAAAGGAGGGUCAUCCUGUGGAGACUGGAUAGGCAGAAAGAGGCAGCAGAGGUGUCCAUUGAGAAAGCAAUGGAGGAAAGAUGUUCCACUCAAGCCCAGGGACCCAUAAUUGAGAAUGAGACAAGACACUCCAAAUCCUUCUCCAUCUGGGGUGGGCAGAGACGUCACAGCCAAAAUGGAAAAGACGAUGAAACUCUGACACAAGAGAGAGACUGCAACAGAUGGCCUGUGGGCCCACAGCAAAAAAAAAAAACCCCAAAAAACCCACCAAAAAACAAAAGACAUGAUCCGAGCAAUUCAGCAAAAGUACAUCUCCCCCUAUAUUUUAGCACAUAUUGCAACUUACUAUUGAUAUUGAGUACAUUAUCAUUAAUUGAGUCCUUAUUUAUGUGCCCAGGGUAAUGUGCUAAAUUCAUUUUCUCAUUUAAUUCUGACAAAACCCCAUCCAUUCAUUCAACAAUUCCCCAAAUGUGUAUCACCAGGCACUGUUCUAGGUGAGACAGCAAAGCCUCUGCCUCAUGGAGCUGACACUCUAGAAGCAGAGACGGAGACUAAACAAGGGAACAAAAAUAUUUCAGAGCACGAAGAGAACUAUGAAGAAAUGAAGCAGAGCUGGAGGAGUUCUCUGAGACAUUCUUGCAGGAGGGAGAAGCAGGCUCAGCGCGGUUGGGUACUUGGCCCAGUGAGGUCUCUCUAUGUGGUGAGUCCACAUGGAGAGUUUGGGCUUCCUCACCACCUGGUGGUCUCAGGACAGUCAGACGACUUAUAUGGGGGCUGGAGACUUCCAGAGGAAGUAUUCUGACUAGUAAUCUGGGAGCUACAUGGCCUUCUACGAUCUGGCCUCAGAGGUUACACAGCAUCAAUUCCACCCCUUCCCCGGGUUACCAGCGAGUCACACGCCUGCCCAGAGUCAAGGCACAAGGUUCUGGAAGAGCACGUGGAGUGGGAGAUGCUAUCGUGGCCACGGUUAUCACUAGCCACGUGACCUUGGGCAAGUUGUGCAACUGUCUGAGCCUCGGCAUCCUCAUCUGUAAAAUGGACAGAAUCAUAGU